UUACAUAAUAAGUGAACGUGUGAAUAAAAGGGAUGAAAUGCCGACGGAAAUAAAAAAAAAAAUUCAAAGUUAUAGGUUUUUCGAGUUAUUUCUACUUGGAGAUUAGUAAUUCUAUAGUGGGGAAUUCAAAGAAGACAAUUAAACAUGCCCCAGUUGAGUUCGAUCUCAGUAGUAUAAGACCACUUGUGUUAUGUGUUAUUUGCAUGGAUUUUUGUGUUCUUUUCUUCUUCCAUGGAAUAUCUAUGUCAAUGUAUCAUACAAAUUUGAAUUCAUUCUUGUUUGGUUUUCAAUCAGUAAAAAAAAAAGUACUUUUUAGUUUGUUAAUUUCAUAUUAAAGUAGUGUACUAAGGAUAGAAUAGGCUUGACAGGGAAGGACUUGAAGAAAUUUGAAGAGUGUUAUCAAAUUGAAUAGUUUCUAUUACUACCGACUAGUACACCAUAACAAUUUGUUGUAUACUCGUCUGUCCUGUUUUUAACAUCCAAUAUUUUGUUGUUUCUAGCUUUUUGAGAAUAUCCAAAAUUCAAACUCUUGCUAAAUUGUGUAGAUGUGAGUAUGAUAAAGAUUUAAGGUUAUGUUGGUUUGUGGCCUCUUUUGUGAUUUGCUGAGUUUGUAUUCUUUCACCUCUCAUAUGGUUUAAAUUUCUUUGUGAAAGAAAGUGCACGUGUAAUAUGUGAUUUGAAUUUCUAAUUUUGCUUUGGAUACUGCAGAAUAGAACAAGCAUGCGUGUCAAUUUGCUAUAUGAAUGCUGACACAUCAAGAUUUAUACUUUUCAUAUAUUUUAUAAUAAAUACAUUUUGCUGUCCAGCAUAAAC
rnacentral:lncRNA from 1 species